GAUGAACGCUAGCGAUAGGCCUAACACAUGCAAGUCGAGGGGCAUCACAUGAAGUAGCAAUACGGAUGGUGGCGACCGGCGCACGGGUGAGUAACACGUAUGCAACCUGCCUUCAACAAGGGGAUAACCCGUUGAAAGACGGACUAAUACCCUAUAACACAGGGGUCCCGCAUGGGAAUAUUUGUUAAAGGACAACCGGUUGAAGAUGGGCAUGCGUUCCAUUAGCUAGUUGGCGGGGUAACGGCCCACCAAGGCAACGAUGGAUAGGGGAACUGAGAGGUUUAUCCCCCACACUGGUACUGAGACACGGACCAGACUCCUACGGGAGGCAGCAGUGAGGAAUAUUGGUCAAUGGACGCAAGUCUGAACCAGCCACGUCGCGUGAAGGAAGACGGCCCUACGGGUUGUAAACUUCUUUUGUAAGGGAAUAAAGUGUAGUACGCGUACUAUUUUGCAUGUACCUUACGAAUAAGGAUCGGCUAACUCCGUG
rnacentral:rRNA from 1 species